GGGUGUGAGAGUGAUUUGGCCACAACAUCUGUCACCCCAUUGAUUGCCAGACUGGCUUCGUUAGUUCUGGGUGGCUAGGCCAGGGUCUCCAUCCUCUCCUGCCUUCCUACAGACAUCGCUCCCGGAGCUGCACACUGUCCUUCUCUAACAGGGUGGACCAUUGGUCAGAGCAGAGCAUACUUAUUAUCAGA
rnacentral:snRNA from 1 species